UCCAGGUUUCUCACUGAACCUGGAGCUCACCAGUUCAACUAUGCUGAGUGGCUAGCAAGUCUGAGGACUCUCCUAUUUCUGGUGUAUACUGUUCGUGGGAUUUAUGAUUAUAUCAUCCAUCCGGCACCGGGUGCUCCACGAGGAGUGCAUCUCCUGCUGUCUGCUGAACAUGCUGCUGGGAGAAGUUCUCCAGGGGAGAGGAUCUCCGUGAACCACACGGGUGAAGAUGGUCUGCUGACCUUGUGUUCUUGAAGACCUCCCAUAGGCAGUGACAUUAGUGCCUCUGUUGUCCAGAAAUGUUCCAGUUUCAGCAACUGAGAAAAGGCAGCUGUAACCAGAGGAAAAGGAAAGCAUGAAGACUUACCUGCAGAGAUGGAGGAAGAACAUUCCAGAUAAAGUCUCAAAAGAGGAAUGUUCCAGGCUUAAAGCUAUGGGACUUCUGGGAGGGAGCCAUGGACUGGAGGGCUAUCUUGACUUUGUCUUUGACCUUGAAAGCCUUUGAAACCAAGAUGGACUCAAUUACAUGGAGCCCCUAGAGAAGAAAGCAACUCAGGGGUAGAGUUCCUGAGGACCUGAGAGGCUUUACCCAUUCUGGAUGCCCUGGGCUGCUGCUUGGAGCACAAGAUCUCACAAGGAUCUCUUUGCUCAGAACCAUGUGGAGAAGCUAUCUAUCUUUCAGCCACUCAGGGUCUGCAUUCAGAGCAAAAUUCAGUCUUCUCAAGUUCAGCACAAAUGCCAUCUUAACAAGUAAGUCCAUCUUUGAGCAAGUGACCUGAUCUCUGGAGUCUUGUUUGUUCGUCUGUGAAAUGGACAUCGUGGGCCCUGCCUAACUGGGCUUUGGGGAAGAACAGAUACGCUAACUCGGGGUUAGCAAAGCAUUGGGAACACACGGUGAUUCAGCUUUGGAUUCUGACAGAUCACCCAGGAAACAUAGGGCUGGACCACACGUUGCCUGAGAGCCAACAUCAGAUGCUGGGCACUUUCCCAGCAUGUAAUCCUGGUAUCCCAUAGUGGGGUCCAGAAGAGCUAGAGCACUAGUUCACAUUAAAGUACGUGUAGCUUGUAACCUACAAAGUGUUUUCAUCUUUGAAAUCCCAUCAUCUUACUAUCUCACGGAUGCCACCUUGGGCAGAUGAGAAGAAUGGCUCAGAGCCAUGAUGGCUGCCCAAACUCUCACAGUCUGAGAGCUGCACAGUGUCUCCAGACACUUACCCUCCUGACCGUUGAACAGCUUCAGAGCGAGCUGGGGGAUGACUCAGUCAGCAAAGUGCCUGCUGUUCGGGCUCGAGGACCUAAGUAAUACCAGAACUCACGUAAAGAAGUGGAACACCUCUAAAUUUACAUCUCUGUGCCCACAGAUUAGCACGGAUCUCGGACCUCACCUGAGAAGGUUCCUGCAGUGAACCGUGGUUAAUGAGACACUCAGCUGAACAAAGUUCAGGAAAUAAAUGUCUGUGGACGUAAUCUCUAUCACUCCUCUCCUCCCAAGGUUCAGAGACCAAAGGGUGGGAAGAUUCUCAGAGCUAGAGGUUAGGGGCACAGGAGUGAAAUAUUAUCUUCUGGACAUGGAAGAACCACUGUACUAAUGAGGUCACAGGAGCCACGGUUACUUGCUGAAGACCUGCAGAAGAUGAGAUCAAUCAACACUCCAGAUCACGAAGAGUGGCUCAUGAGCUCCUGCCUGAGGUGCUGUGGGCAGUUGAUGGCUUUCAGGAGAGUCAGUUUUCUUUAACAGUGUGGCCCCUGGUAAAUCACCCAUACUCCAGUUGAUGGCCUUACCCUCAUAAGUACAUGGGGAGCACAAAUUGGACUUUGUGUGCUAUUAAAAACAUGCACAAAGUUGGUAGGAGUGGGCCUGGGAGGGGUGGAGUUGGAUGGGAGAGUGUAAAUAUGAUCAAAUACAUUAAAUGCAUGUAUGGGAUUCUCAAAGAAUAUUUUUAAUUAUAUAUAUAUAUAUAUAUAUAUAUAUAUAUAUAUUACAAUUUAUUCACUUUGUAUCCCAGUUGUAGCUCCCUCACUUGUCUCCUCCCGGUACCACCCUCCCCACCUCUCUCUCCCCUAUCCCUCUCCCCUAGUCCACUUCUAGGGAAAGUCCCUCUUCCCUGACUGUGUGACCCUAGCCUAUCAGGUCCCAUCAGGACUGCCUGUAUCCUCUUCCUCUGUGGGUUGGCUAGGUGGCCCCAUCAGGGAGAAGUCAUCAAGGAGCAGCCAACCGAGUUCAUGUCAGAGACUGUCUCUUCUUCCCCAACUAGGGGACUGAGCUGUCUAUGGGCUACAUCUGGACAGGGGUCUAUGUCCCCUCUCUGUAUAGUCUUUGGCUGAUAAUUCAGUCUCUGUAGUCCCCAACUGUUUUGGUUUUGUUAGUCUCCUUGUGGGGCUUCUGUCUCCUCCUUGUCUUUCUAUUCCCCCUUCUUCCAAAGGACUCCCCGUGCUCUGUCCAAAGUUUGGCUGUGAGUCUCUGUAUCUGCUUGAUCCCCUGCUGAGUGGAGUCUUUUAAAGGAGAGGUGGUAGGCGCCUGUCCUGUUCUCUCUCUUCUACCACUUCUGAUGUCUAUCCUGUUUCCCCUUCUGAAUGAGAAUUAAGUAUCCUCCCUAGGAUCCUCCUUCUUGCUUAGCUUCUUUAGGUCUGUAGAUUGAGUAUGUUUAUGCUAUAUUAUAUGGCUAACAUCCACUUACUGGUGAGUAUAUACCAUGUAUGUCUUUCUGCUUCUGGGUUACCUCACUCAGGAUGAUCUUUUCUAUUCCAUCCAUUGCCUGCAAAUCUCAUGAUUUCCUUGUUUGUAAUAGCUGAGUAAUAUUCCUUUGUGUAAAUGUACCACAAUUUCUGUAUUAAUUCUUUCUGUAUUUCAUUCAUUUUAGGUUGUUUCCAGAUUUUGGCCAUUAUGAAUAAAGCUGAUAUGAACAUAGUUGAGCAAAUGUCU